ACAGUCACCAGCAGUACACAACUGAGUGCACAAUUAGGUACCCUUACAAAAAGAAACGCCCAGGAAAAAAAAAGAACUUCUACAAAUUUCCUGUUCAAAUCUGUUUAUCCAUUUACUGAUCACUCUAUGUGGGAUGGGGGUGGGUUGAGAGACUUACCAGGUGCCUUCCUGGUGCUUCUCGAGGAUGAAGCAACAGCUGAGAAUCCACCCUGUGGAAGAUCAUACAGAAUGAAAUGCAAGGUAAACUGAAGAACUGCUGUUCCCCAAUUACCACCUUUAACAAACCAAGUCAAAAAUGAGGCUCAUUCAAUCCAGAGGAGCAAACGCUUGGAGAGGAAGAGAGAACUUCAGUGCUCCUUUCCUCUUCAUAGGCUGUGGUGAAAGUCCUGGACACUGCAGAGGAAACCUCUUGACAAAUGCAUGAGGAAGAAUCCAAAACUACUUCAUGGCAACAUCUGUGCUUCUCAAAGGCCACCGGAAUUCUUUCCUCUAGAAUUAAAAAAAAAAGAAAAGAAAAAAGAUGAUAGCAAAGCUGGAAAAUGACAUUUCUGCAUUGGUACUACAUGAGCGGAGUUUCUGUGAUCUGCAUAAACAGCUUUUACUUGGCAGAAAGGCCUGGCUCCUGGCAUAAAACACCCAAGCAAUUAAUUUGUCCUCCCUUCUUUCCUCUCUGCAGUUACCUGAACUGAUUGGAGUGCUGACACUCGGUGGUGCGUGACUCACUCCAGGUGAUCUACAAUUUAUAUCCUCGUAGUAGUUCUCUUCCUUACAGGGAAUGCUUGACAAAUCCUGAAUAUCUGUCACUGAUCUGAAGUAUUGAAAAAUGUUCUGACAGUUAGAAUAGCCAGUUCUUUCACUCGUAAAUCACUAAAUUCUGCUAUUUUCAGGUUCUUUACAUUUUACUUUAGUUCAGUCUUAUCCAGUUUUCCAGAAGACAAUUGCUUUGCCAACUUCACACAGAAUUCAAAGACUAAGGAUCGCCAUCUUCAAUGAUCUUGCAGACAGAAAAGGUUAAUUAUCAGCCUUCCCCUUCUUUACAGAAUUUCAUUUUAGUAACUCUCUUACAAAAGAAACCUCAGGAAACUGCCUCCUAAAAGGAUAACAGCUUCAACUGUGAACCACGAGGAAAAAAAACUGUCUCCAAAGUCAAAGGAAAACCUCAACAUGUAUUUCACAAAAAAAAUAAAGAUUCAUUAAGAAUAAUGUAAGAUAUUAAGAGUCUGUAAAAGAAUUAUUAGGAUGAGCUGAAACUGCUCAAGUUCUGCACAGGAAGUGAUGGACGCUCAAGUAACAGAAACUCUUGAUUCGCUGCUGGACUGGAAAUACAUAAGGCAAAUACAUUGCACAUAUACCCUGGAUUAUGUUAUGUUGUCCUCACAGGAUCUUUACAUGACCAUGAAUUCACUGUUACCAAGACGGUGAUUGCUAUGCAAAUUUCCAUUAUCUGUAAAAAAUAUAACUUUAAUAGUUGAGUCACAAACUCAGUUUGUAAAUGUUUCCUAAGAAGACAAAUCACAAUACUAUUCUGUAAUGCAAUUUAUGUAACUACAGACUAACAAUCCACUCUUCAAAGUGAUUUUAUUUCUUCUGAGUAACAUGCAUGGAAGAACCAAGGAAUCACAAUGCUAACAUAAAGAGGCACACACAAAUUACACUGGGUUAAUUACUUGUUACACUAAUUUAAUUACUUAUAAAUACGAAAAUAUCCUGAACUAAGCCAAGGACAACUACGUGAUGGCCCUUUUAUAGCCAUCUCCCAGCUUCUUUCAACAUUCCAGUGUUCCAACUCUCAGCUUUAGUUUGUCAUAUCUUCCUGUUUCAGAUCAACACUGGCUGUUACCACUGUAAGAGUUCAACUUGCAGCAGUUUCAGCAUAGAAGUCUGUGGCUCUUACAUGUCUUUUUCUUCAGAGUCUUCCUGCAGCUCCCUUGAUAUCACUUCUUGUGCUGCUUCAGUACUGGAAUAAAGGAAGAGAAGACAGGGAAGGUCACUGUCAUUGGUCUUCUCAGAAAAAUUAUGAAAA